rnacentral:rRNA from 1 species
CCUCCCUCUGGCUGCGUGCUUAACACAUGCAAGUCGAACGGAAAGGCCCCAGCUUGCUGGGGUACUCGAGUGGCGAACGGGUGAGUAACACGUGGGUGAUCUGCCCUGCACUCUGGGAUAAGCCUGGGAAACUGGGUCUAAUACCGGAUAGGACCGUGCUUUAGUGUGUGCGGUGGAAAGUUUUUCGGUGCAGGAUGAGCCCGCGGCCUAUCAGCUUGUUGGUGGGGUAAUGGCCUACCAAGGCGGCGACGGGUAGCCGGCCUGAGAGGGUGUACGGCCACAUUGGGACUGAGACACGGCCCAGACUCCUACGGGAGGCAGCAGUGGGGAAUAUUGCACAAUGGGCGCAAGUCUGAUGCAGCGACGCCGCGUGGGGGAUGACGGCCUUCGGGUUGUAAACCCCUUUCGGCAGGGACGAAGCUUUUGUGACGGUACCUGCAUAAGAAGCACCGGCUAACUACGUG